UACGUAGGGUGCAAGCGUUGUCCGGAAUUAUUGGGCGUAAAGAGCUCGUAAGCGGUUUGUCGCGUCUGCUGUGAAAACUCGGGGCUUAACCCCGGGCCUGCAGUGGGUACGGGCAGACUAGAGUGCGGUAGGGGAGACUGGAAUUCCUGGUGUAGCGGUGAAAUGCGCAGAUAUCAGGAGGAACACCGAUUGCGAAGGCAGCUCGCUGGGACGUUACUGACGCUGAGACGCGAAAGCGUGGGGAGCAAACAGG
rnacentral:rRNA from 1 species